GCGGGUGUGGCGGAAUGGCAGACGCGCAUGAUUUAGGAUCAUGUGUCUUAUGACGUGGAGGUUCGAGUCCUCUCACCCGCA
rnacentral:tRNA from 1 species